GAGGUGUUAGUUCAACUGGAAGAACGCUUGUCAUGCAAGCAAGAAGCUGCGGGUUCGAAUCCCGUACACCUUA
rnacentral:tRNA from 2 species